UACGGGGGGGGCAAGCGUUGUUCGGAAUUACUGGGCGUAAAGGGCUCGUAGGCGGCCAACUAAGUCGGACGUGAAAUCCCCAGGCUCAACCUGGGAACUGCGUCCGAUACUGGAUGGCUUGAAUUCGGGAGAGGGAUGCAGAAUUCCAGGUGUAGCGGUGAAAUGCGUAGAGAUCAGGAAGAACACCGGUGGCGAAAGCGCUCUGCUGGACCUAAACUGACACUGAGGGACGAAAGCUAGGGGAGCGAAUGGG
rnacentral:rRNA from 1 species